rnacentral:rRNA from 1 species
GGGGAAUAUUGGACAAUGGGGGGAACCCUGAUCCAGCCAUGCCGCGUGUGUGAAGAAGGCCUUUUGGUUGUAAAGCACUUUAAGCGAGGAGGAGGCUCCCAGUAUUAAUACUACUGGAGAGUGGACGUUACUCGCAGAAUAAGCACCGGCUAACUCUGUGCCAGCAGCCGCGGUAAUACAGAGGGUGCAAGCGUUAAUCGGAUUUACUGGGCGUAAAGCGUGCGUAGGUGGCUAAUUAAGUCAAAUGUGAAAUCCCCGAGCUUAACUUGGGAAUUGCAUUCGAUACUGGUUGGCUAGAGUAUGGGAGAGGAUGGUAGAAUUCCAGGUGUAGCGGUGAAAUGCGUAGAGAUCUGGAGGAAUACCGAUGGCGAAGGCAGCCAUCUGGCCUAAUACUGACACUGAGGUACGAAAGCAUGGGGAGCAAACAGGAUUAGAUACCCUGGUAGUCCAUGCCGUAAACGAUGUCUACUAGCCGUUGGGGUCUUUGAGACUUUAGUGGCGCAGCUAACGCGAUAAGUAGACCGCCUGGGGAGUACGGUCGCAAGACUAAAACUCAAAUGAAUUGACGGGGGCCCGCACAAGCGGUGGAGCAUGUGGUUUAAUUCGAUGCAACGCGAAGAACCUUACCUACUCUUGACAUCCAGAGAAUUUGCUAGAGAUAGCUUAGUGCCUUCGGGAACUCUGAGACAGGUGCUGCAUGGCUGUCGUCAGCUCGUGUUGUGAAAUGUUGGGUUAAGUCCCGCAACGAGCGCACC